AUUGAACGCUGGCGGAAUGCUUUACACAUGCAAGUCGAACGGUAGAGGGGGCAACCCCUCGAGAGUGGCGAACGGGUGAGUAAUAUAUCGGAACGUGCCCAGUCGUGGGGGAUAACGUAGCGAAAGUUACGCCAAUACCGCAUACGAUCUACGGAUGAAAGCGGGGGAUCGCAAGACCUCGCGCGAUUGGAGCGGCCGAUAUCAGAUUAGGUAGUUGGUGGGGUAAAGGCUCACCAAGCCAACGAUCUGUAGCUGGUCUGAGAGGACGACCAGCCACACUGAACUGAGACACGGGCCAGACUCCUACGGGAGGCAGCAGUGGGGAAUUUUGGACAAUGGACGCAAGUCUGAUCCAGCCAUUCCGCGUGCAGGAUGAAGGCCCUCGGGUUGUAAACUGCUUUUGUACGGAACGAAAAGGUUUCCAUUAAUACUGGGAGCUCAUGACGGUACCGUAAGAAUAAGCAUCGGCUAACUACGUGCCAGCAGCCGCGGUAA
rnacentral:rRNA from 1 species